rnacentral:lncRNA from 1 species
GCUUUGAGAAUAAGGAACUAAUUGGCUGCGAACAGUUUCAGUCUAAUGACCUCUUACCAGAAGCUCAACAGUGCAUUAAGGUUUAUACCCGGGGUUGGUUAGAUUAGUUUCAAUUUCAGGUAGUGGGUAUCUAUCCAAUUACUCUCCUCCUCCUCGCUAGGAGUAGAGCACAUGGCAUUCCUUCUGCUACUGGAUGUGCUAAGCAGCAUGCGAGUUGGCAACUUGGGCUGAAAAGCAAAUUAGCAUUAUGCAAACUGCAGGAUUCUGGCACUCACAUUAGGAUCACUGAUCUGGCAAGAAAUCCUGCCAAGCUACCAAGCUUUCCUGAGCCCAGGGAGAGCUGCAAACCCUAAUCCAAGAGACCAGCUGACAAUAACAAAACAAAAAGAGAUUGCGGGGGAGGGGGAACAAAUCUUAAUUGUCUGGGAGGAUACUGGUGGGAGCUUGGAGGUGGAUUUCCUACAGAGACCUGACUCCUGUAUUGCAGUGAAGAAAUACAGAUAGAAAGGGGCAGCUGCUGCAGGAGUGGCAGACGACAGCAGGGCAGUAAUACCUUAAAGCACUUCAGCCGGAUUCAUCAGAAUUCAUCUGUCUUCAGGGCUUUUUUAAGGCAUUCACUGGAGAGUACAAGCAAGCUGAUCCUCUACUGUGUUUCCUCUACCACACACUGGUUUCUCUAUUUACAUCACAACCUCUUUGUGCAGUGUAAUUGUCUAGCACAAUGGGGCCCUCAGUGGGAACCUCAAGGUAUUUCCAUCAUAAGAAUAACAAACAACAGCAAGGAAGAAGAACAAAAGGAGAAACACUGCGAUUACAAGAAUAGGUCCAACCUUCAUCAGACUGAAGAGUUUCAGGAUUUGGGACAUUUCAAAACUGGAGACAGAAGCAAAUGAGAGGAUCCAACACUGGCUUUUAUCUUGAGCUGUGAUGUGUACCUCCAAAGAAUCGUGGCAUGCCCUGUAUGCAUUGCUUCUAUUGUUAGAACAUAUCAAAGUGAGAGUACAGU